rnacentral:rRNA from 1 species
UACGUAGGGUGCGAGCGUUAAUCGGAAUUACUGGGCGUAAAGGGCGCGUAGGCGGCUUAACAAGUCACUUGUGAAAUCUCCGGGCUUAACUCGGAACGGCCAAGUGAAACUGUCAAGCUAGAGUGCAGAAGGGGCAAUCGGAAUUCUUGGUGUAGCGGUGAAAUGCGUAGAUAUCAAGAGGAACACCUGAGGUGAAGACGGGUUGCUGGGCUGACACUGACGCUGAGGCGCGAAGGCCAGGGGAGCAAACGGG